rnacentral:rRNA from 1 species
AGUGAACGCUGGCGGCGUGCCUAAUACAUGCAAGUCGAACGGAGUGGCGCACGGGUGAGUAAUAUAUAGCUAAUCUGCCCCUUGCUGGAGGACAACAGUUCGAAAUGACUGCUAAUACUCCAUAGCAGGGGAUGAGACUAUAUAGUAUCAUGUAGUCGGUGGGGUAACGGCCUAACGAGGCGAUGGCGAGUAACUGGUAUGAGAGGAUGGUCAGUAAGAUGGGAGAGGAGAGACGGACAAAACUACGACGGGAGGGAGCAGUAGGGAAUAAUGCGCGAGGGGGGAAACGCUGACGCAGCAACGCGGGGGGGAGGAUGACACUUUUCGUGGAGUAAACUCCUUGUGGUAGGGAAGCGGUACGUAACGAAUAAGCCCCGGGUAAAUCCGGGGCAGCCGCCGCGGUAAUUC